rnacentral:hammerhead_ribozyme from 1 species
AUCCUGAUAACUAGUCCAAAAUAGGACGAAAUGCGCAUCCUAGAU